GCGAAGUGGGCGGCGGUGCUAUACAUGCAAGUCGAGCGGACAGAAGGGAGCUUGCUCCCGGAUGUUAGCGGCGGACGGGUGAGUAACACGUGGGUAACCUGCCUGUAAGACUGGGAUAACUCCGGGAAACCGGAGCUAAUACCGGAUAGUUCCUUGAACCGCAUGGUUCAAGGAUGAAAGACGGUUUCGGCUGUCACUUACAGAUGGACCCGCGGCGCAUUAGCUAGUUGGUGGGGUAAUGGCUCACCAAGGCGACGAUGCGUAGCCGACCUGAGAGGGUGAUCGGCCACACUGGGACUGAGACACGGCCCAGACUCCUACGGGAGGCAGCAGUAGGGAAUCUUCCGCAAUGGACGAAAGUCUGACGGAGCAACGCCGCGUGAGUGAUGAAGGUUUUCGGAUCGUAAAGCUCUGUUGUUAGGGAAGAACAAGUGCGAGAGUAACUGCUCGCACCUUGACGGUACCUAACCAGAAAGCCACGGCUAACUACGUGCCAGCAGCCGCGGUAAUACGUAGGUGGCAAGCGUUGUCCGGAAUUAUUGGGCGUAAAGGGCUCGCAGGCGGUUUCUUAAGUCUGAUGUGAAAGCCCCCGGCUCAACCGGGGAGGGUCAUUGGAAACUGGGAAACUUGAGUGCAGAAGAGGAGAGUGGAAUUCCACGUGUAGCGGUGAAAUGCGUAGAGAUGUGGAGGAACACCAGGUGGCGAAGGCGACUCUCUGGUCUGUAACUGACGCUGAGGAGCGAAAGCGUGGGGGAGCGAACAGGAUUAGAUACCCUGGUAGUCCACGCCGUAAACGAUGAGUGCUAAGUGGUUAGGGGGUUUCCGCCCCUUAGUGCUGCAGCUAACGCAUUAAGCACUCCGCCUGGGGAGUACGGUCGCAAGACUGAAACUCAAAGGAAUUGACGGGGGCCCGCACAAGCGGUGGGAGCAUGUGGUUUAAUUCAAGCACGCGAGAACCUUACCAGGUCUUGACAUCCUCUGACACCCUAAGAUAGGCUUUCCCUUCGGGGACAGAGUGACAGUGGGCAUGGUUGUCUCACUCUGUCUUGAGAUGUG
rnacentral:rRNA from 1 species